UUUUUAAUUAGAUUUUCAGCUAAUUUGAUUAAUACUGAGGACAGUACUAUUGGGCGGUACGAGGAAAUAUCAGAAGGCGCUUUGUUUGGUUUUAAGAAUGGCAACACCAUUUGACGUUUCCAUUCUUCAGGGAUGUUUCCUGUUGUCAUUACGGUAUUAAUCAACUCCAAAUAGUAACUAAGAAUAUUAUCACUCAGAUGUACGAAAAAUGAGUAUGGAAUGCCAUCUAGACCAGGAGCGGAAUCUACAGUAUUUUGCACAAUCCCCUUUAAUUCACUUAGGGAGAACGGGAGGUGUAAUGUAUUAGUUGUAGACUGUUUCGAACUAUCGGCAUUUGUUCCGCACGGUGCACAACAAAUGUUCUGAGGAACCCAUGGUGGAGCCAAAUGGUCCAGGAAGUCAGAGGCUAAAGAAUCAGGAAUAGCAGGCGUCGGCUGUGUAAAAACGGACCUGAAUUUACGAAUAUUUUGCCAAACUAUAGUAGGGUUUGAUCGUCUCUUUGAAAUAGUUGGCAUAGAGAAUGGGCUGGAAAUAACUAUUGGGAAAUGGUCACUGCCAUAUGUAGAAGAAAGGGUAUUCCAGGUUAGUGAAGAAGCUAGAUUAGGAGAACAAAUGGAUAGAUCCACAGCACUGUUAUUCUGAUUAGGGGCUGACCGCCGAGUGGCGAUACCUGUAUUUAAUAUGCAUAGAUUAUGUUGGUCUAUUAUGUCAAGUAAGUCCUGCCCAUAGUUGCUUGAAAUUGAGCAGCCCCAACAUUGGUGGUGGCAAUUUAAAUCUCCCAUUAUAAUUAAAGGUCUUGGAAGAAUAGAGAAGAGAUGGUUGAUCUCAAGAAGUAAAGAAGAAGAAGGGUGAGGAACAUAAAUAGAGACAAGGCAAAGAUUGUAUACUUUAAUAGCAACAAUUGAAAUGUCCUCACUAUGUGGUGGGAAGGAAA